GACGAACGCUGGCGGCGUGCUUAACACAUGCAAGUCGAACGAAGUGGCGAACGGGUGAGUAACGCGUAAUCAACCUGCCCUUCCGUGGGGGACAACAGUUGGAAACGACUGCUAAUACCGCAUACUGAAGGAGGGGAUUGCGUCUGAUUCGCUAGUGGGGGGGGUGAAGGCCCACCAAGGCGAUGAACCGUAGACGGUUCGGGAGGAUGGACAAGCACCUUGGGACUGGGAAACGGCCCAUAAUCCGACGGGAGGCAGCAAGGGGGAAUCUUCCGAAAUGGACGAAAGUCUGACGGAGCAACGGCGCGGGAGUGAUGACAGCCUUCGGGUUGUAAAGCUCUGUUAAUCGGGACGCGGUACCAGAAUAGAAAGCCACGGCUAACUACGUGCCAGCCGCCGCGGUAAUAC
rnacentral:rRNA from 1 species